rnacentral:tRNA from 1 species
AGUCAGAUAGAUUAAUUAAGAUCACCGGGCUCAUGACCCGGAGGUACGACAGGUUCUGGCUG